rnacentral:lncRNA from 1 species
AUUUUUUUUUCCCCAGCAGAAGUUAAAUGCCCUCCUUCAAAGCAGGUGGUUCUGGCUGGAUGAUCAGAAGUGCGGCUGAUCAGGCCCCUGUCGAAUGGCCAGAGAGAAGCCAUCUGGGAUCCCUUCAGUGCCCCUGUGUGUGGGCUUGGCUGGCCUCAUGAACCACACAGGGGUAGGAGCACCUGAUUUGCCGGCUGGGCAUUGGCCUCUCUGUGGCUGAAGAUACAAUGCAUUGGUAGAAAAUGUGAGGUUCGGUAAGGCCAAAGUUCAUGAAAAGACCAUAGAAAGAUAGUGUGUUACAGAUCCCAGGAGGAGGGGGCACGCCAUGCCAAGGGGGCCGCGUGGGGAAGAACGGUUGGGUCAGGAGGUGGGGGACUGAGGAGCUGUGCAAGGGCCUUUACUGCGGUUUCUGUGGAACAGGCAAGGGAGGGCACGCAGGGUUAGGAUUGUCUCGUUUGGAUAGUUUCAGCAGGUUCGGGGAUGUGAGACCUGUCCCUAGUUAUCUGUUACCUGGCCCUGGGGGAUUAGGGCAGGGAGUUAGCGGCCUGAGUGUGAGACCCCAGUGGAGGAGGAGGUUGGGGCAUGGGCUCUGGAUGGGUUUGCAUGUGAAAGGCCACGGUGAGUCAGGGCUGCAUUAAGGGGAAUAGGAGUAGCAGGAAGAGUGCCUGCCGGAGGCCGAAGAGACCUGAAUUCCGGCUCCAGACCACGGUCAUCCUAGCUCUAUGACCCCAGGAAAGGCACCAGCCUCUCCCCAUCUCAGUUCCCUUAUCUACAGAAUGUGGGUUUGGACUAGGUAGCCUUGGACUAAGCUUUUGAGCCUUCCACCUGUACAGAUGCAGAAUGAAUACUACUUGUACAAAAAUGGGUUUAGAAAGACACAAAAAUACUUUCAAAUAUCCUUCUACUUGGGAGACAAAAUGGUUUUGAACAUCCUUAUUCUUCUACACAGCAGCAUUUGACUCCUGCAGAGCUGACUGUAACGAGAGAUUUAUCUCCUGCUACUUCUCUAAAAUGUCAUUUCUUCCAAUGUCUCCCAAGUUUAAGCGCUGAAUUUUAAUGUCAUCCUAGUCUAAACACAUUAUAUUUUAUACAUGGAUCCAUAUUGACAAAAAUGUCACAGUUGCUUAUUAACUUGAUAGGAUCUGAGCACAGGAUCAGGUAAAGGAAAAGGUAUUUUUAAAAAUCCAAGGGUGAUGUACCCUGAAGGGGCCUUUUCCCACUAGAAAGAGGCUCCAACCUCCAGACCAGGGCUUUUGGUUUUUUCAGAUUUUUAAUCACCAAUCCAGUCCAGUGAAUGGCUCCUGUUAUUUGUUGCAUGAGAAGAGGAAGAAGAAGAAGAAGGAGAAGAAGAAGAGAAAGAGAAAGAAAGAAAGAAAGAAGAUAGAAGAAGGGGAAGGGAAAGGGGGAGAAGGUGAGGAAACUGAUCAGUGAAUCUGCAUUUCCUGCCCGGGCAGUAGUGGAACUUGGAUUAGAGACCUGGGUCUUUGGGCUUUUUUACCCAAGGGCCUCCACCUGGUGACACCGGGCUUGAAACUUUCACCUGCCCACCUGGCCACACAGACCACGCACCUGUUGUGCAAGAGCCCAAGAGGAAAACGCCCUGGAGCCUCACAGCAAUAUGUGAAAGGAGCAGAAUAUAUUCUGCAGAAUAUAUUCCAGGAGCAGAAGAAAACAGCAAGCUAGGAAAAGCAAGAGGCAGCGCUGGGGACUCACCUGCCCAUAUGGUGAUUCCUAUCUCUUCCCCAGACCUAAGAAGUCUGUCGUCGCUCCCUUCCCAUGUGCCACUUCUUGGUUUUAUUACUCCUUGAAGUUUAGUAUUAAAAUUUAAUCGCCUCUAGAAAAGACACAAUUAUGAAGAAAAUCAAAAGGAUCAGUGGUGCCAGGAGGUAGACCUGGUCGACCAGGUCGACCACCUGGUCUCCCUAACAGGAGGUAGUGGGGAGGAAGGCAUGAGUCGGCAGAGCACAGGGGGUUUCUAGGGCAGUGAGGUGAUUCCACAUAUUACCAUAACAGGGGAUACAGGUCAUUACACAUUUGGCCAAACCCACGGAAUGUCCAGCACCAGGAGUGACCCUAAGGUGAACCGUGGACUCCAGGUGAUGAUGAUGGGCCAGUGCAGGAUCCUUGAUCAUAUCAGAUGUCCCCCUCUGGUGGGGAGUUGAUAAUGGGGGAAGUUGUGCCUGUGCGGGGGCCGGGAGGGGCUGGGAAUUCUCUUUUCCUUCCUCUCAAUUUUGCUGUGAACCCAAACCUGCUCUAAAAAAAAAUCAAGCCUAUUAAUAAAACACAUAACAUGGUAAUACUAUAAACAUAUUUAAUUGGCUAACAAGGAUCUAAUGUAAUACUGGGCAAUUCCUAUCUCUAUGUGAAUUCAUCAUGGCUGCCUAGAAUGGAUCGGAGUUUUGGAGAAGCGAGGAGACAAUUU